rnacentral:rRNA from 1 species
CCUACGGGUGGCUGCAGUGAGGAAUAUUGGUCAAUGGGCGGAAGCCUGAACCAGCCAAGUCGCGUGAGGGAAUAAGGCCCUACGGGUCGUAAACCUCUUUUGCCGGGGAGCAAGGGCGGGGACGUGUCCCGGCCCGGAGAGUACCCGGAGAAAAAGCAUCGGCAAACUCCGUGCCAGCAGCCGCGGUAAUACGGAGGAUGCGAGCGUUAUCUGGAUUUGUUGGGUUUAAAGGGUGCGUAGGCGGGCUUUUAAGUCAGCGGUAAAACUGCGGGGCUCAACCCCGUACGGUCGUUGAAACUGGGGGCCGUGAGUGGGCGAGAAGAAGGCGGAAUGCGUGGUGUAGCGGUGAAAUGCAUAGAUAUCACGCAGAACCCCGAUUGCGAAGGCAGCCUUCCGGCGCCCUACUGACGCUGAGGCACGAAAGUGCGGGGAUCGAACAGGAUUAGAUACCCGAGUAGUC